ACGGGUGCAGCAGCGCGAACACUUACAAUGCGGGAAACGCGAUAAGGGACCCCGAGUGCCAGCAUCAAAUGUUGGCUGUCCAGAUGGUUAAAAAUCAUUUGUUAGCAAGGGCCGGGCAAGACCGGUGCCAGCCGCCGCGGUAACACCGGCGGCCCGAGUGGUAGCCGUUUUUAUUGGGUCUAAAGGGUCCGUAGCCGGCUGAUAAGUCCUUUGGGAAAUCUGACAGCUUAACUGUCAGGCUUCUAAGGGAUACUGUCAGGCUUGGGACCGGAAGAGGUAAGGGGUACUCCAGGGGUAGGAGUGAAAUCUUGUAAUCCCUGGGGGACCAUCUGUGGCGAAGGCGCCUUACCAGAACGGGUCCGACGGUGAGGGACGAAAGCUAGGGGAGCAAACCGGAUUAGAUACCCGGGUAGUCCUAGCUGUAAACGAUGCUCGCUAGGUGUCAGACACGGUGCGACCGUGUUUGGUGCCGCAGGGAAGCCGUUAAGCGAGCCACCUGGGAAGUACGGUCGCAAGGCUGAAACUUAAAGGAAUUGGCGGGGGAGCACUACAACGGGUGGAGCCUGCGGUUUAAUUGGAUUCAACGCCGGAAAACUCACCGGGUGCGACAGCAACAUGUAGGUCAGGCUGAAGGUCUUACCUGAAUCGCUGAGAGGAGGUGCAUGGCCGUCGUCAGUUCGUACUGUGAAGCAUCCUGUUAAGUCAGGCAACGAGCGAGACCCGCGCCCACAGUUGCCAGCAUGUUCUCCGGAACGAUGGGUACACUGUGGGGACCGCCGCUGCUAAAGCGGAGGAAGGAACGGGCUACGGUAGGUCAGUAUGCCCCGAAUCUCCCGGGCUACACGCGGGCUACGAUGGUUAGGACAAUGGGUACCUACCUCGAAAGGGGAUGGAAAUCUCUAAACCUAAUCGUAGUUCGGAUUGAGGGCUGUAACUCGCCCUCAUGAAGCUGGAAUCCGCAGUAAUCGCGUUUCAACAUAGCGCGGUGAAUACGUCCCUGCUCCUUGCACACACCGCCCGUCAAACCAUGCGAGUGGGGUCUGGGUGAGGGCGUGUCUCUAGCA
rnacentral:rRNA from 1 species